rnacentral:rRNA from 1 species
UACGUAGGGUGCAAGCGUUGUCCGGAAUUAUUGGGCGUAAAGAGCUCGUAGGCGGUUCGUCGCGUCGGCUGUGAAAACCUGAGGCUCAACCUCAGGCCUGCAGUCGAUACGGGCGGACUUGAGUACUGCAGGGGAGACUGGAAUUCCUGGUGUAGCGGUGAAAUGCGCAGAUAUCAGGAGGAACACCGGUGGCGAAGGCGGGUCUCUGGGCAGUAACUGACGCUGGAGGAGCGAAAGCGUGGGGGAGCGAACAGG